rnacentral:rRNA from 1 species
CCGCCGGCGACCGGCGCACGGGUGAGUAACACGUAUGCAACCUGGCCGUGACAGAUGGAUAACCGGGAGAAAUCCCGCCUAAUACAGCAUGACGCCGGGAAGGGACAUCCCUUUCCGGCCAAAGGGGGCGACUCCGGUCACGGAUGGGCAUGCGGCGCAUUAGGUAGUUGGUGGGGCAACGGCCCACCAAGCCGACGAUGCGUAGGGGUUCUGAGAGGAAGGUCCCCCCACAUUGGAACUGAGACACGGUCCAAACUCCUACGGAAGGCAGCAG